rnacentral:rRNA from 1 species
GAUACCUACGGGACGCAGCAGUGGGGAAUAUUGCACAAUGGGGGAAACCCUGAUGCAGCAACGCCGCGUGAGUGAAGAAGUAUUUCGGUAUGUAAAGCUCUAUCAGCAGGGAAGAAGAAAGACGGUACCUGACUAAGAAGCCCCGGCUAACUACGUGCCAGCAGCCGCGGUAAUACGUAGGGGGCAAGCGUUAUCCGGAUUUACUGGGUGUAAAGGGAGCGUAGACGGUCCUGCAAGCCAGAUGUGAAAGCCCGGGGCUCAACCCCGG